GGCGCUUGAUUCCUCUGGCGCUUGAUCCUUCUGGCGCUUGUUUCCUUUGGCGUUGGAUUUCUCUGGCGUGCGUUCUUGUGUUUUUGUGCUCUACCCGGGACGGCUCUGGCGUGGACUUUGCUUGGCCUCGGUUGUGACCCUUUGCGGUCCCGUCUCUUGUUCGUUCUUGUUUUUUCUUUCUUUUUUCGCUUGGGUUUUUUAUCUUUUUUUGGUUUUGGUUUUUCUGAACUUUCCUUGUUUGCGUCUGUGCUCUCAAGGGUUUUGUUUUNCUUCAAUAAAAUUUUUAUUUCAGCAGUCUUAGCACUAUAGCGAGUACUGAGAUGUCGAGAUGCAAGACUAUUUUUUUUUAUGACUAGAUAAGACAGAUUGUGUUUUAAAUAGAGUUACGAGUGGACAAAUCAAUGAUGAAGUUAGAGUGAUGAGAUUUGAGAAAUGAGUUAAGUUAGAG
rnacentral:lncRNA from 1 species